AUGAGCCAGCUUUUCUUCAAAAUCCCUGCUGGGCCCUGGCUCCAUCACACUGGGAAGAAACCGAGGACAAGGUUGCCACCAGAAGGCGCUCUGGACCUCAGAAGGCAGACACCCAACAGGGAGGAGGCCACGCACUGGGAGGGUCUUCAGCAUGAGCGCCCCAGCAUUCUAAGUGCUGUCCAAGUGUAUGGCCUGUGGCACAGGAGAGAUGGUCCAUGUCAUGACACCCCACUUCCACACUCACCAGGCAACUUUCUGAUGCCAUGUCCUGGGUUAUUAGAUACUGAUGAUGGGAUGCUCCCACAAAGGGUUCUCAUUCCCCACCCCCAGGAAAUGUGUGCAUUGGCAUUCUGGCAAAUAUAUAUAUCUACUUUGUAUAAUGUUGGUAGAUGUCCAUUUGUUCCCAAGGGGGGAGCAACUCUGAGUAGACUGAGUACCUGGUUUUCACUUUGGCUUACAGUGACUAAACCACCUACCACCUCUGUAAAGUCCUGGCAACAAGCGCCUAAGGCUGCAGCAUAACACCCGCAGUUGCCCACAUCUGCUGGGAGAUCUGACACUAAAGCACCUCACUUUCACUAAGUCAUGGCCUCCAUUUCCCACCUGCAACAGGAGUGGCCAGAGUGACUGAUCAUACUCUUGAGCCUUUGCAAUUGUGACAGUGCUUCCCCCACUCGCCCCUGCCACAGGAGAGGGGGGAAAGGGAAGGCUGACAAGGGGACCCACCUGGGACAGACAGGUCAUGGGGAUGGGGGUUAUGAGAUCGAGGCUCCCACUUCUCAUUCAAAUUACCAAAAAGGUUCACUCAGGGAGUGUGGGACUGAUCUGUGAUGUCUAAUUCUUUGCUAUAUCUGGCAGUGUUUUCUAAAAAGUAAAGCACGAUGUACUCUUCCAAGUUACAUUGAAAGAACUUUGGGAAUAAGAACAGAAAAUUAAAGAAACAUUUCAAAACACUAAUAGUGUAAUAAUCCUCUAUACCCCCAGUUUGCCAUGUUUGUAUUUCUAACUCUUCUGAGCUCCACAGGGGUGUGAGGUGGCAUCAUUCCUCCAUGUUACAGCCAAGAACACUGAGCCAGGGGCUGACUUUAAGACUGGGCUCAGGACAGAGCCUGGCACUGACAAAGGGAGGAGUAGAUGUGCCCAACAGCAGACCCUAAGCCUACCCAGAAAUAAUACUUCACAUGUGGCUGAUAACUCACAGAGAUUGGGGCUUAAAUGAGCAUAGCCUUUUUGGGUUAAAUGAGUUAAUCUAUGUUAAAAUAUAAAUAUGAAGAUAAAUUAUGCCUUACUCUAAACAAUCAUAUGAGAGUUUCUUAUGUAUAAAAAGAAAAAAUUACAGAAAGAAUCAGAAUAAAAUCUGACACUUUGCUGUUUAUACAAUAUACAGCAAAAUAUAUGCACAAAUUUUGAAAAGGAAAUGCAGAGCUAAAUCAACUUGCAUGCAAAUGCAAAUUGAAAAAAGCAAGGGGCUUCAAUUAUGGCAUCUGGAAAAGAAAAACUUAAGCUAGAAGCAUUAAAAGAGGCAAAGAGGGCACUAAAGGCACGAUUUUUCAAUAUAUUACUAUUAAAUAUAUAUGCUCCAAAUAUCAUGGUACUUAGUGAUACCCUAUUUCUCAAAAAGGAUUUGAAAACACUGCGGAUCUAACAUUGCAACAACGAACAUAAAAUAGAAACAAAUUUAAGUGAAACAGAAAUACAAAAAGUAAAAAACACAAAAUCAGACCAUGAUUUGACCAUGUCAAUGACUGUUCUUAACUAUUUUGGGGGUCACAGAGUCUUUCCAAACUGUGGUGAAUGCUACAGGCCCCCCACCCUCUGGCCCCGAACAAUUCAUUCAUAUACAUAACCACAUAGCUUUGUUCAAUCCCUCUAUGCUGCUUCUAAAAUAGAUCUGCACACCCAUGGGCACCUAGGCAGUCUGCAGCCCCCAGGUUAAGAACUGUAAACAACAGAAAAAGUAUGAAUUUGAAUAAAAGUAAUUUAAAAACAAGUUAACAAAUAGAACUGAUGGAGUACAAACACAUUUGUGGAAAGUACACAAACUCUUUAUAGAAAUUGAUCAUAUCUUCAGGCCCAGAGUAGUUCUAUGGACACUUAGAAAUGUUGACACCACAGUACAAUAAGAAAGAACAGCAAUGACCUAUGCAUUCAUCACUUGGAAAUAAAAAAUAAAAUAACAGCACUUGGGCCAAAAGGAAAUUCCUAAUAUGGUAUCAAAAAUUUGCACAUGUCAAACUGACAGAGUGCAGAAAAAGCUCUAAGAAAAAAAGUCGUAGACCGGAGUACCUGCAUUUACUAGAAACGUUAAAAAUAUGAUCAGCUACAUCUAAAUAAUCUUGGAAAUGUAAAAUAGUAAGUAAAAUUAAAAAAAAAAAAGAAAGAAAACAGACGGCAUACAUACACUUUGACAAAACCAUUCGAUUAGUAAACAAGACCAAGAUUGGAGCUUUACAACACUCAACAUCUGCCAUAAGAAGGAAAAUAAUGUAAGACAACCAAACAAAAACAAAUGACAACUAAAUCCAAGGACAAUUAAAAUAUUACCAGGCUGUUCUCUUGUAAUAUUACACUGUUCAAAAACCUAAAUAAAUUGAAGGAUUUAAAAAUACAUAAAAUGGUGGAGGAAUGUGAACAGAAGGGACUAGGUUCUGCUCACACUUUGAGAAGUACCUGGUCCUACCAUGGUUAUGUAAGAAUCCGUCAACCCUUAAGAAAAGGGAUCUCAAUCCCCAUGUUACAUAAACUAUCAAGAGAAGGAGGGUGUGGGGUCAAGGAAGAGGAGAAAGUGCAUAUUCCAGAAUGAAGAACAGCAUAAAAUAAGCUGAGAGAAGCUGGGAGAGGAGGGAGUGUCUGGGGAGGGUGGCAUGAACUCUCUGUGGUCUGUUCAGAAGGAGCAAACCAGAUUGGCUGAAAUGGGGCCAUAUGGGCAGGCAAGCCCCUGAGGGUUGGUUUUAAGGAGAGUGGUGGCAUGUGCAAAGAGAUGCUUUAAGAAAAUCAAUUUGAAAAAAAAAAAAAGAAAGAAAAUCAAUUUGGCUGGGGUGUGCAGAAAGCACAUGGAGAGAGACAUCAAAGGUAGGAAACUGAUGACUGCCCGAUAAGGACAGACAUGGCCAAGGCAGGGCCGAAUUGGGGGUGCCAAGGAGGUAGAUCUUGGGCAGGGGGCUGCUGUCCACCCACGCUGAGCAGGGGCUCGCGAUUCUCUCUGCAUUCUUGGUAAGUGACUGAAGACUGUCAGUGCAGGCCACCUGCAGACAAUACCCAGGGGCCAGCCAGGCAGGCCAGUCUAGCCAGUGGUACAGUAGGUUCUAGGAGACCCAGGGUGCUGGCUCAAGGUCUCACUCACACAACACAGACACGAGCUGGACAGGAGCAGCUGCUGUUCUUAUACUGGGACUCCCACUGUGAUCCCCCCAGGUAGAGACCUGGCCUCUUAAAAUCUCCAGGCUGCCGAGCCCCACUUACUAAGUAACUUGUCCAUUUUUACUCAUCAAAACUAUACAUGACUGCCAAGCUGAGCUUCUGAUUAGCUGAAAUAGCCUGUAUUACCAAGAUGGAGUCGGGAUUCCAGUUGUAAACUUUUGGAAAAUUUCAAAAUCGCUCAGACUGCCUCUGAGGAGCCUAAGGGAAGGCAGUACCAUAGAAAUCCUGGGGGCCACACGAAGGCCUGAGGACCUGAGACAAGCACUUCUCAACCAGCCAGACACGGCACUGCCUGAGCCCAUUCUUAGGGGGUGGGAAGUACGGGGACUGAGAUAGAACGGCCACCUUCAAACUCUGCUCAUGGCAAGCAGGCCUGACAUCUGUAAGAUGCUGGGGCUAAAUGGAUGCCUAGCAUAGGGCUCACACCCUGGCUACAUACUGGAAUGUUCUAAUCACCCGGGGAGCUUUAAAUACACAUCACCAUCUGAGUCCCACCUCUGGGGAUGCCGACUGAACCAGUCUAGGCGGGACACAGGCAAUGGUACUUUCUGAACAAUGUCUGGGAGAAGACAGAGAGAAGUAUGGGGACGUGGGCUACUCAGACCACACAGCUGCUGGGGAGAGAUUCAGGAUGGCAUGUGGAAAGAGUCCCUAGCUGGGACAUGGCCCCACAGGGCAUCCACAGCCCAGGGUGCAGGCUGGAGGGAGUAAAGGAAAGCCUAAGCCCUCAUUCAACGAAAGGAUGGGCUGCAAGCCCUGCCUCUGGGGAACCAGCAGGGAUGCCUCUCUGGUCUUUAGGAAAUAUCUCUCUGGGUGGCACAAGGGUCCCUCUGGGUCUCUAUCCUCAACUGCCAGUCGCCAAAGCACUUGCAUGGGUGGUUUCAUUCUGAACAAGAGUCUUGCACCCUCAGAGGUAUGUGGCCAGGUCCCACUAUCCCCAUCUCACAGAUAGGGAAACAGGAGCCUUGGAGCUUCCUCAAGAUCACCAAGCAGGAGGGGCAGAACUGGGAUUUGAACUGGGACCUAUGACUGAAUCACCCUGCUUCCUCUGUCCCCCCAGCACUGGAGGGCAGAGAGGGGGCCCUGCUGCUGACCAAGGCACACUGUGGUCUUAGGAGCCCUAAGACUUGUGGAGGGGUUAUAACCGGAGGGCGCUAAUGCCUUGGGCCAGGCUGAGUCAAAGCCAGUGUCAAAUGUCCUGUGGCCUACAGGACCAAACUUCUACCAUCCUGUGAAAGAGCCAUCUGCCAGAAACUACCCUUACUCUAACCCAGAAUAGGGAUUAAGAGACCAUGCCAGGGGCUCCCCACCCUGUUCCCCAACCCCAGAAUGAAUCCUUCCAGACCCUCCUUUUAUUCUGUAACCUGUUUUGGUUGUCCCCACCAGUGCCAAGCCAGGUGAAAGAUUCCAUUUUCCUGUUAAUGCAUCUACUUUUGGACUCAUUUUUCUUUAGCAGAUUUGGACUUUUGAGCACAGGUCUAUCUUCUAAAAGUGCCAGACUGCAGCUGAUGUUAAAGAGUUCAUCUGACAUCUUUGUGUGUUUAACUCAACUUUCUCCCUUGGGUAUUUAUUCUUCUGGAUUUUGACAAAGGUGAAGAAACAGCAAAAUUCAAUCUCACAGGCUUGGGAGUCAAAUGUGAACAAUUGAAGGCCAGCUCUCUUUGUGGGCACGCCUCUGUUUCAGUGGCCUCCCCAUUAUUCCACCCUCCCACCCACUCAGUAAACUCAGGUGUGGAGCACCUGGCCAGGUACGAGCGUGGGGGGCCAGGAGCACUGGGGUUGGCAUGUUUCCAUUCCGCCCUGGGAUCAGGAAGGUGGGUGGGGUUUUACAGACAAGGCGAUGGGGUGUGGGCUCCACCUGGGAAAGGGUUUGGAGC
rnacentral:lncRNA from 1 species